UACAGAGGUCUCAAGCGUUUGUUCGGAUUCAUUGGGCGUAAAGGGUGCGUAGGCGGCGCGGUAAGUCGGGUGUGAAAUCUCGGAGCUUAACUCCGAAACUGCAUUCGGAUACUGCCGUGCUUGAGGACUGGAGAGGAGACUGGAAUUUACGGUGUAGCGGUGAAAUGCGUAGAUAUCGAUAAGGAAGACCAGUGGGCGAAAGGCGGGUC
rnacentral:rRNA from 1 species